AACGAACGCUGGCGGCAGGCUUAACACAUGCAAGUCGAACGCAUCGCAAGAUGAGUGGCAGACGGGUGAGUAACGCGUGGGAACAUACCCUUUUCUACGGAAUAGCUCUGGGAAACUGGAAUUAAUACCGUAUACGCCCUUUCCUGGUGGACAGUUUAGGGGAAAGAUUUAUCGGGGAAGGAUUGGCCCGCGUUGGAUUAGCUAGUUGGUGGGGUAACGGCCUACCAAGGCGACGAUCCAUAGCUGGUCUGAGAGGAUGAUCAGCCACAUUGGGACUGAGACACGGCCCAAACUCCUACGGGAGGCAGCAGUGGGGAAUAUUGGACAAUGGGCGCAAGCCUGAUCCAGCCAUGCCGCGUGAGUGAUGAAGGCCUUAGGGUUGUAAAGCUCUUUCACCGAUGAAGAUAAUGACGGUAGUCGGAGAAGAAGCCCCGGCUAACUUCGUGCCAGCCGCCGCAGUAA
rnacentral:rRNA from 1 species